rnacentral:rRNA from 1 species
AAGGAAUAUUGCUCAAUGGGAGAAAUCCUGAAGCAGCAACGCCGCGUGGAGGAUGAAGGGUCUAUGACUUGUAAACUCCUGUAAAGAAGGAAAAAAUUCCCAUUUGAUGGGAGAUGAUGGUACUUCUGGAGUAAGCCCCGGCUAACUCCGUGCCAGCAGCCGCGGUAAUACGGAGGAUGCGAGCGUUAUCCGGAUUUAUUGGGUUUAAAGGGUGCGCAGGCGGGAUUUUAAGUCAGCGGUGAAAUUUUCAGGCUCAGCCUGAACACUGCCGUUGAAACUGGGAUUCUUGAGUAUGGAUGAAGUAGGCGGAAUUCGUUGUGUAGCGGUGACAUGCUUAGAUAUAACGAGGAACUCCGAUUGCGUAGGCAGCUUACUAAGCCAUAACUGACGCUCAAGCACGAAAGCGUGGGGAUCAAACA